rnacentral:lncRNA from 1 species
AAAAGUUGGCUCUCAGAGAGCAAGCCACUGAAGUCAAAUAAGAAUCCUUUUGGAACACUUCAACAGGAAAAGUCCCAUGCUCUGUUGAUGCCUGAUGGAGGAUGAAGUAAAUACCAGCUGGUGUAGAAUGAGUGGAAUAUAAUUACUCUCUACAAAGUUAAGUGAAUAUUAAAAUGCAGAAGUCAUAGGCACUGGUGCUUUUCCCUCCCAACUCCACUGCCCAGUAAACAGUAUCCUGACCUGAUGCUUGGCUUCAAUGCAGCUUACAGCAGGGAUCUCAGUAAAGGGCUUGCUUGUCAGCAAUGUGGAAGCAACUGGGACACAGGCUGCUGAGAAAGGCAGGAAGUCAACCACCUUCCAGGAACGUAUGGAGACUUUCCUGAUGCCUGAGAGCAUGAUAUGGUGAAAAGAAUGCGGCUUUGGACCAGAGACCAAAUGUGACCAGAAUGUGGCUUUGGAGCCAGAGAGACCCAUCUCUGAAAUUUACAAGUCAUGUGACCUUGACGAAGGUCUCUCCCUUUUCUAUACUUCAAUUUGCUUAACUAGAAAAUGGAGUCAUACUGCGUUGUGUGAUUAAAGAACUAUACUUCAGAAAUCACUUGACAAAGUUUUGCAUAGUGACACGCAGGCAGAGAAAACUGCAAAAAGAGCUGUAGAAAGAUUGGGUAAGUAGUCUACACAUGUUAAGGUGAUGGCAGUAGAAAUGCAAAGGAACGGCUGGCAGCCAAGAUGGCUGAAUAGGAACAGCUCCUGUCUACAGCUCCCAGCGUGAGCGACGCAGAAGACGGGUGAUUUCUGCAAUUCCAUCUGAGAUACCGGGUUCAUCUCACUAGGGAGUGCCAGACAGUGGGUGCAGGACAGUGGGUGCAGCGCACUGUGCAUGAGCGGAAGCAGGGUGAGGCAUUGCCUCACUCGGGAAGCUCAAGGACUCAGGGAGUUCCCUUUCCUGGUCAAAGAAAGGGGUGACAGACGGCACCUGGAAAAUCGGGUCACUCCCACCCUAAUACUGCGCUUUUCCGAUCGCCCUGAAAAACGGCGCACCAGGAGAUUAUAUCCUGCACCUGGCUCGGAGGGUCCUACACCCACGGAGUCUCGCUGAUUGCUAGCACAGCAGUCUGAGAUCAAACUGCAAGGCGGCAGCGAGGCUGGGGGAGGGGUGCCCGCCAAUGCCCAGGCUUGCUUAGGUAAAUAAAGC